GAUGAACGCUGGCGGCGUGCCUAAUACAUGCAAGUCGAGCGAACAGAUGAGGAGCUUGCUCCUCUGACGUUAGCGGCGGACGGGUGAGUAACACGUGGAUAACCUACCUAUAAGACUGGGAUAACUUCGGGAAACCGGAGCUAAUACCGGAUAAUAUAUUGAACCGCAUGGUUCAAUAGUGAAAGACGGUUUUGCUGUCACUUAUAGAUGGAUCCGCGCCGCAUUAGCUAGUUGGUAAGGUAACGGCUUACCAAGGCAACGAUGCGUAGCCGACCUGAGAGGGGGGUCGGCCACACUGGAGCUGAGACACGGUCCAGACUCCUACGGGAGGCCGCAGUAGGGAAUCUUACGCAAUGGGCGAGAGUCUGACGGAGCAACGGCGCGUGAGUGAUGAAGGUCCUCGGAUCGUAAAACUCUGUUAUUAGGGAAGAACAAAUGUGUAAGUAACUAUGCACGUCUUGACGGUAAUUAAUCAGAAAGCAACGGCUAACUACGUG
rnacentral:rRNA from 1 species